rnacentral:rRNA from 1 species
UACGUAGGAGGCAAGCGUUGUCCGGAAUCACUGGGCGUAAAGCGUGCGUAGGUGGUUCGUUAAGUCUGAUGUGAAAGCCCUGGUCUCAACCUGGGAAUGGCAUUGGAAACUGGCGACCUAGAGUGCGGUAGAGGGCAGUGGAAUUCCAGGUGUAGCGGUGAAAUGCGUAGAUAUCUGGAGGAACACCGGUGGCGAAGGCGGCAUCCUGGACCGGCAUUGACGCUGAGGAGCGAAAGCCAGGGGAGCAAACGGG